ACGCUCGACACCUACGGGAGCAGCAGUGGGGGAUAUUGCACAAUGGGGGGAACCCUGAUGCAGCGACGCCGCGUGAGGGAAGAAGGUUUUCGGAUUGUAAACCUCUGUCCUCAGGGAAGAAGAUGACGGUACCUGAGGAGGAAGCCACGGCUAACUACGUGCAAGCAGCCGCGGUAAUCUGAGCGGGCUGGCAAGGC
rnacentral:rRNA from 1 species